rnacentral:rRNA from 1 species
UUCUGGUUGAUCCCGCCGGAGGUUACUGCUAUCGAGGUUCGACUAAGCCAUGCGAGUCGAAUGUAGCAAUACAUGGCGUACUGCUCAGUAACACGUGGACAACCUACCCUUAGGAUGGGGAUAAACCCGGGAAACUGGGUAUAAUACCCAAUAGAUCUGGUCUGCUGGAAUGCUUCCAGAUUUAAAACUCCGGUGCCUAAGGAUGGGUCUGCGGCCUAUCAGGUUGUAGUGGGUGUAGUGUACCUACUAGCCUACGACGGGUACGGGUUGUGAGAGCAAGAGCCCGGAGAUGGAUUCUGAGACACGAAUCCAGGCCCUACGGGGUGCAGCAGGCGCGAAAACUUUACAAUGCCGGCAACGGCGAUAAGGGGACCUCGAGUGCCAGGUUACAAAUCUGGCUGUCGCGAUGCCUAAAAAGCAUUGCAUAGCAAGGGCCGGGCAAGACCGGUGCCAGCCGCCGCGGUAACACCGGCGGCUCGAGUGGUAACUGUUAUUAUUGGGUCUAAAGGGUCUGUAGCCGACCGGGUAAGUCUCUUGGGAAAUCCAGCAGCUCAACUGUUGGGCUUUCAGGAGAUACUGCCUGGCUCGAGGCCGGGAGAGGUGAGAGGUACUUCAGGGGUAGGGGUGAAAUCUUGUAAUCCUUGAAGGACCACCAGUGGCGAAGGCGUCUCACCAGAACGGACCUGACGGCAAGGGACGAAAGCUAGGGGCACGAACCGGAUUAGAUACCCGGGUAGUCCUAGCCGUAAACGAUACUCGCUAGGUGUCGGCCACGGUGCGACCGUGGUCGGUGCCGUAGGGAAGCCGUGAAGCGAGCCACCUGGGAAGUACGGCCGCAAGGCUGAAACUUAAAGGAAUUGGCGGGA